GGGGUUGUGGCUCAGUGGUAGCGCACUCAUCUGGCAUGUGUGAGACACUGGGUUCAAUUCUCAGCACCA
rfam:Ictidomys tridecemlineatus contig118781, whole genome shotgun sequence.